AGAGUUUAGUCAUGGCUCAGGAAUGAACGCUAGCGGCGUGUCUAAGGCAUGCAAGUCGAUCGAUACAGAGGCAAACGGGUGAGUAAGACAGUGAUAACCUACCCCACAGACGAGGACAACCAUUAGAAAUGAUGGCUAAUACUCGAUAGUCAUAUCUUUAUACAAUUAUAGAUAUGUAAAACUCCGGUGCUGUGGGAGGGGUCUUUGCACUACCAGCUUGUUGGUGAGGUAAUGGCUCACCAAGGCUACGACGGUUAACGGGUGUGAGAGCACGACCCGUCACACUGGGACUGAGACACUGCCCAGACACCUACGGGUGGCUGCAGUCAAGAAUCUUCCACAAUGGGCGAAAGCCUGAUGGAGCGACGCCGCGUGCAGGAAGACGCCUUUCGGGGUGUAAACUGCUUUUAUGUGGGAAAAACUUGCGAUGGUACCACAUGAAUAAGGGGCUGCUAAUCACGUGCCAGCAGCAGCGGUAAUACGUGAGCCCCAAGCGUUAUCCGGAUUUACUGGGCGUAAAGCGCUAAAAGGUGGUUUUGUAAGUCGAAUGUUAAAUCCCGUAGCUCAACUACGGUUAUGUGUUCGAAACUACAAAACUUGAGGACGGAAGAGGUAAGCGGAAUUAUCGGUGUAGCAGUAAAAUGCGUUAAUAUCGAUAGGAACUCCAAAAGCGAAGGCAGCUUACUGGGACGAUCCUGACACUAAAUAGCGAAAGUGUGGGUAGCGAAGGGAAUA
rnacentral:rRNA from 1 species